rnacentral:tRNA from 1 species
GGGCAAGUGGCGGAAUGGUAGACGCGCUGGUCUUAGGAACCAGUGGUGCAAGCCGUGGGGGUUCGAGUCCCUUCUUGCCCA